rnacentral:rRNA from 1 species
CUACGGGGUGCUCCAGUGAGGAAUAUUGCGCAAUGGGGGGAACCCUGAUGCAGCAACGCCGCGUGGAGGAUGACGCAUUUCGGUGUGUAAACUCCUUUUAUAUGUCAAGAAAAUGACGGUAGCAUAUGAAUAAGCACCGGCUAACUCCGUGCCAGCAGCCGCGGUAAUACGGAGGGUGCAAGCGUUACUCGGAAUCACUGGGCGUAAAGGACGCGUAGGCGGGUUGGAAAGUCAGGUGUGAAAUCCUACAGCUUAACUGUAGAACUGCACUUGAAACUUCUAAUCUAGAGUAUGGGAGGGGGAGAUGGAAUUAGUGGUGUAGGGGUAAAAUCCGUAGAUAUCACUAGGAAUACCUAAAGCGAAGGCGAUCUCCUGGAACAUUACUGACGCUAAGGCGUGAAAGCGUGGGGAGCAGACAGGAUUAGAUACCCCGGAGUC